rnacentral:snoRNA from 1 species
AAUUGGCUUUGAUGAUCAUCAAUCUCAAUGGCAGUUCUGCUUCAGUAAAUUCUUGAUUGAUAAGUUGAUUAAUAAAUGAGCCUAUU